rnacentral:rRNA from 1 species
AUUGAGCGCUGGCGGCAGGCUUAACACAUGCAAGUCGAGCGGGGUGAUGGUGCUUGCACUAUCACUUAGCGGCGGACGGGUGAGUAAUGCUUAGGAAUCUGCCUAUUAGUGGGGGACAACAUCUCGAAAGGGAUGCUAAUACCGCAUACGUCCUACGGGAGAAAGCAGGGGAUCACUUGUGACCUUGUGCUAAUAGAUGAGCCUAAGUCGGAUUAGCUAGUUGGUGGGGUAAAGGCCUACCAAGGCGACGAUCUGUAGCGGGUCUGAGAGGAUGAUCCGCCACACUGGGACUGAGACACGGCCCAGACUCCUACGGGAGGCAGCAGUGGGGAAUAUUGGACAAUGGGGGGAACCCUGAUCCAGCCAUGCCGCGUGUGUGAAGAAGGCCUUAUGGUUGUAAAGCACUUUAAGCGAGGAGGAGGCUCUUUUGGUUAAUACCCAAGAUGAGUGGACGUUACUCGCAGAAUAAGCACCGGCUAACUCUGUGCCAGCAGCCGCCGUAA